rnacentral:rRNA from 1 species
UACGUAGGUGGCAAGCGUUGUCCGGAAUUAUUGGGCGUAAAGCGCGCGCAGGCGGUCCUUUAAGUCUGAUGUGAAAGCCCACGGCUCAACCGUGGAGGGUCAUUGGAAACUGGGGGACUUGAGUGCAGAAGAGGAAAGCGGAAUUCCACGUGUAGCGGUGAAAUGCGUAGAGAUGUGGAGGAACACCAGUGGCGAAGGCGGCUUUCUGGUCUGUAACUGACGCUGAGGCGCGAAAGCGGUGGGGAGCAAACAGG